UACAGAGGUCUCAAGCGUUGUUCGGAUUCAUUGGGCGUAAAGGGCGCGUAGGCGGGUGCUCAAGUCCGGGGUGAAAUCCCACAGCUCAACUGUGGAACUGCCUCGGAUACUGGGUGCCUCGAGGGUGGUAGGGGUAUGCGGAACUAUCGGUGGAGCGGUGAAAUGCGUUGAUAUCGAUAGGAACUCCGGUGGCGAAGGCGGCAUACUGGACCACCUCUGACGCUGAGGCGCGAAAGCCAGGGGAGCAAACGGG
rnacentral:rRNA from 1 species